rnacentral:rRNA from 1 species
GAUGAACGCUGGCGGCGUGCCUAAUACAUGCAAGUCGAGCGAACGGACGAGAAGCUUGCUUCUCCGAUGUUAGCGGCGGACGGGUGAGUAACACGUGGAUAACCUUCCUAUAAGACUGGGAUAACUUCGGGAAACCGGAGCUAAUACCGGAUGAUAUUUUGAACCGCAUGGUUCAAAAGUGAAAGACGGUCUUGCUGUCACUUAUAGAUGGAUCCGCGCUGCAUUAGCUAGUUGGUAAGGUAACGGCUUACCAAGGCAACGAUGCAUAGCCGACCUGAGAGGGUGAUCGGCCACACUGGAACUGAGACACGGUCCAGACUCCUACGGGAGGCAGCAGUAGGGAAUCUUCCGCAAUGGGCGAAAGCCUGACGGAGCAACGCCGCGUGAGUGAUGAAGGUCUUCGGAUCGUAAAACUCUGUUAUUAGGGAAGAACAUAUGUGUAAGUAACUGUGCACAUCUUGACGGUACCUAAUCAGAAAGCCACGGCUAACUACGUG